AUGGCGUUGUUGCUCCGCCGCGCCGCCGCCGCCGCCGCCGCCGCCCGCCACGGCCCCGCCGCCGCCCCCUUCCAUUCCACCACCAUGACGUUGUUGCUCCGCCGCGCCGCCGCCGCCGCCGCCCGCCACCGCCCGGCCGCCCUCCUCCUUCCCGCCGCGCCCAUCUCCAGCAGCGCAGUCACACGGCUCCCCGUCCUCCUCCGCCCGCCACCACCGGCCUUCCAUUUCUCGCCAUGCCGCCGCAUGUGCGUCCUCACCGAGUCGGAGCUCAACGACUUGAAGUCGGAGUUGAUUAAAAUGGAGGCCGAAGGCGUUGCUCUGUACAGUUCGACCUCGACCUCUAUCCUCAAGUUAGAGAUCGAGGUGGACAAGCUGUGCAAGGCUACUGCAGACAAGGCACACCUCGCCGCGCGCACCGUCGGUGACACCUCCUUCCUGAUCUGCGGAGUGGUUGUGUCGGCUGCGGUCUUUCUUGGCGUGCUCGGCCUCUUGGCUGUGUAUGCCGCCGGUGCCCGUGCAGCCAAGAGUGCUGCGGGCGACUACGUGGAUGAGAAGCUUACUGAAGUGGAGAUGAUCGUGGAGAAGAAGGUGCUGACCAGCAUCAAGAAGACAUGA
rnacentral:rRNA from 1 species